rnacentral:rRNA from 1 species
UGGGGAAUUUUGGACAAUGGGCGCAAGCCUGAUCCAGCCAUGCCGCGUGCGGGAAGAAGGCCUUCGGGUUGUAAACCGCUUUUGUCAGGGAAGAAACGCGCUGGGUUAAUACCUCGGCGUAAUGACGGUACCUGAAGAAUAAGCACCGGCUAACUACGUGCCAGCAGCCGCGGUAAUACGUAGGGUGCAAGCGUUAAUCGGAAUUACUGGGCGUAAAGCGUGCGCAGGCGGCUUUGCAAGACAGAUGUGAAAUCCCCGGGCUCAACCUGGGAACUGCAUUUGUGACUGCAUGGCUGGAGUGCGGCAGAGGGGGAUGGAAUUCCGCGUGUAGCAGUGAAAUGCGUAGAUAUGCGGAGGAACACCGAUGGCGAAGGCAAUCCCCUGGGCCUGCACUGACGCUCAUGCACGAAAGCGUGGGGAGCAAACAGGAUUAGAUACCCUGGUAGUCCACGCCCUAAACGACUGUCAACGUGGUUGUUGGACGGU